rnacentral:rRNA from 1 species
UACAGAGGUCUCAAGCGUUUGUUCGGAUUCAUUGGGCGUAAAGGGUGCGUAGGUGGCGGGGUAAGUCAGGUGUGAAAUCUCGGGGCUCAACCCCGAAACUGCACUUGAUACUGCCUUGCUCGAGUACUGGAGAGGAGAUUGGAAUUUACGGUGUAGCAGUGAAAUGCGUAGAUAUCGUAAGGAAGACCAGUGGCGAAGGCGAAUCUCUGGACAGUUACUGACACUGAGGCACGAAGCCAGGGGAGCAAACGGGAUU